GUAGGUGGCAAGCGUUGUCCGGAAUUAUUGGGCGUAAAGCGCGCGCAGGCGGUUCUUUAAGUCUGAUGUGAAAGCCCACGGCUCAACCGUGGAGGGUCAUUGGAAACUGGAGAACUUGAGUACAGAAGAGGAAAGCGGAAUUCCACGUGUAGCGGUGAAAUGCGUAGAGAUGUGGAGGAACACCAGUGGCGAAGGCGGCUUUCUGGUCUCUAACUGACGCUGAGGCGCGAAAGCGUGGGGAGCAAACAGGAUUAGAUACCCUGGUAGUCCACGCCGUAAACGAUGAGUGCUAAGUGUUAGGGGGUUUCCGCCCCCCUUAGUGCUGCAGCUAACGCAUUAAGCACUCCGCCUGGGAGUACGGCCGCAAGGCUG
rnacentral:rRNA from 1 species